rnacentral:rRNA from 1 species
AACCAGCUCUUCAAGUGGUCGGGAUGAUUAUUGGGCUUAAAGUGUCCGUAGCCGGUUUAGUAAGUUCCUGGUAAAAUCAGGUAGCUUAACUAUCUGUAUGCUAGGAACACUACUAUACUAGAGGGCGGGAGAGGUCUGAGGUACUAUAGGGGUAGGGGUGAAAUCUUAUAAUCCUUGUAGGACCACCAGUGGCGAAGGCGUCAGACUGGAACGUGCCUGACGGUGAGGGACGAAAGCCAGGGGAGCGAACCGGAUUAGAUACCCGGGUAGUCCUGGCCGUAAACGAUGCAUACUAGGUGAUGGCCCGGCCAUGAGCCGUGUCAGUGCCGUAGGGAAACCGUUAAGUGUGCCGCCUGGGAAGUACGGUCGCAAGGCUAAAACUUAAAGGAAUUGGCGGGGGAGCACCACAAGGGGUGAAGCCUGCGGUUC